rnacentral:rRNA from 1 species
GACGAACGCUGGCGGCGUGCUUAACACAUGCAAGUCGAACGAUGAAAGUGGAGCUUGCUCCGCUGGAUUAGUGGCGAACGGGUGAGUAACACGUGGGCAACCUGCCCCAGACUCUGGGAUAACUCCUCGAAAGAGGUGCUAAUACCGGAUACGAACUCCUUGGGCAUCCUUGGAGUUGGAAAGUUUUUCGGUCUGGGAUGGGCCCGCGGCCUAUCAGCUUGUUGGUGGGGUAGUGGCCCACCAAGGCGACGACGGGUAGCCGGCCUGAGGGGGGGACCGGCCACACUGGGACUGGGACACGGCCCAGACUCCUACGGGAGGCAGCAGUGGGGAAUAUUGCGCAAUGGGCGAAAGCCUGACGCAGCGACGCCGCGUGAGGGAUGACGGCCUUCGGGUUGUAAACCUCUUUCAGCAGGGAAGAAGCGAAAGUGACGGUACCUGCAGAAGAAGCACCGGCUAACUACGUGCCAGCCGCCGCGGUAA